rnacentral:hammerhead_ribozyme from 1 species
AUUCAGAUGACGAGUACCAAAUAGGACGAAACGUGCGUCAUGGAU